UAUAGGUUACACAUCGAAAACUUUAAAUAAAAGGUUAAAGGAACAUAAGAUAUUGAGAAGAAUGCAUCAUCCAUGGCAUUAGCACAAAGAGCCUUACUAACAGACUUGACUAUUAGAUGGGACAAAUCUAAAUUACUAUGUGAACAAGAUGAUCCUAAAAAAAGCAGAAUAGCUGAAGCGAUCACGAUAUACACGAACAAGACUUCGCAAAUCAAGCCGAUCAACAAGAUCGAUCCGGCGACAUUAAGCACCAUGUGGAGGUCCUGUAUUAAAGUUUCAUAAUAUAUUAAUUACGAGAGGGACUACUUUUAAAUGUAGUUAUAUACUACCC
rnacentral:lncRNA from 1 species